rnacentral:lncRNA from 1 species
AUGAAGUCCGUCAGGGUUUUUGCUGUCCUGCUUCUAGCAUCUGCCAAUGUCUUCACACAAGAAGAAAACUUAAACUUAACCACAACCACAACAAUAGCACCGGGACCGCCAACAAAUCCACCAACAACAACAAAUACGACAACAGUAAAGGCAAGAACAGCAGCACCUCCCUCUCCUCCUACAAAUAUGACCACAUCUCCUCUGGAUGGACACAUGCCUAAAGCCAAUACUACGUUAGCUACUGCUGCUGCUACUGCUGCUGCUACAUCCGCAUCCACCCAGAAUGACUCUUUGACUUCUGAACUAAUGAACAAGAAGAGCAGUGGAACUCCCACUAAUGUCUCUCAGAGUGAGCAUUCUGGUGGCCAAAGCAGAGCAGGUCAAGAUGACACCGAUCCUGACCAGGACUUAGGUAACCCUACUCCUGCCCCAGGACAACAAACCACCAGUGACUCUCAAAGCAGAUCUUCAAGGACAUUAUCACCUCCCACUAAAAGAACUGCUCAGGAGAACAGUCCCGGUUCUCAGGCGGGCCAAACAAAGGAGAAAUCAGCAGAUAAAAAGCUGUGGUGGCUUGUGUUGCCCGCCAUCCUGGCUGUAGCUGCUAUCGCCAUCGUCCUCAAAUUCAAAUCCAAGAAAGUCCACAACCCCACAGAAACCGUCGACACUGGAACUGAGAACGCAUCUUUCCAGAGAGCUGACAACAGCAAGGAUGGCGUCAUGCUCCUCGGAGUUAAGUCAUCAGGAGGAGAAGAGAACGCUGAAGCCAGAUAAGAAGAGUCACCAUCGUCGCCCACACACCGAUGGUCUGAGAAAGCUGUUUUGAUCCUAGGUCUCCUUUUUUGAAGCUGUAAUGAAAUUUUUUUUUUUUUUAAUAAAAGAGGCUUUCAAGUGUGAUUCUGUAUGCGGAGAGCAGUUUUAUGAAGUAGGGCGUGUGACUGCGAUGAUAAAUCUUAAAACAAAUGAACUUGAUCUCAAAAGUAAGGACUGCAAAGCUCAUCUAAAGAAGCUGACCCGCCACCUAUUAAAUGGCAAUGGUGACUUAUUAUUUAUGCAGCCUUUAUUUGCAUCCCGUGCAAACUACUGCCGCAACCAUGUUUCCUGUGUAGUGACCCCAGAUCCUUCACGUUAGUCUUAUCAUAAGCUUUAUAACUCUGUAAUCAUCCUUUCGUUACGUUCUUACCUGCCAUUUACUUUUUACUUGCCUUAAGCCAUUUUGCUGAUUAUGAAGGUUUGGGGUUUGUUUGAUGUGCGCUCCAUAUUUGCUGUUAGGACGACUUGUUUGCGCGUGUAACUCAGCUCACAUAGGAAUUUGCUGCAACAGAGGGUCUGUUAAAGGUUUUUGUGGGGGGUUUUCUACAAAUGUUGCACCAAAGCAUACAUAACUAAAGCAGAUGCAAAAGGCUGUUUGGAUUUAUAGACACUGGAACUGCUUAAUGCUUUGUGGCUGGAAUUUGUCAUCAUCAAUUUCCUCAAUAAAUCACUAGAAAAUGUCUUUUUUGUGCUGCCCUGUUUUUUAACAUAUGUAUACAUAUGCAUCCUCUGAGAAAUCUGAAAUAGCACCUAGGAGAUGUUCUAAAUGGAUAAUUAAAUCAUUAAAAUAAAUUAAAAGUUCUAAUUUAUAUACAUA